AUUAAAUGCAAUGAUUUUAGCAAAAAUUAGUUCAAUUUACCUCAAUAUGACUAUAUCUCAUUAAUAAUAGAAAAAUGAAUUACAAUUUACAAUGUUAAUAUAAAAUAUCUUUAGAAAUGUUAUUAGAUAGACCAUUUCCGCUCGGAAUCGUUUUUAAUCGUAGGUAUAUUAUGUAAAUCAAAGAUGUUUUUUUAUAUUUAUCUUGUAAAUUGUAGAUUAUUAUUUAAUAUUGGACUCGGAAAUUUAUCACGUCCAUUUCAAUGAAAUGUACCUAUAGACUUAUACUAGGUGAGUAGUGGUUCAAUCAGUAAGAAAUCAUGUACCAGCCAACCGCGCCAUAUGAGCCGCCCGAGAUGUACCAGCCGCAGUCGUACCAAAAAAUAAAAAUGAUUUAUUCAACUUUAGUUAAUAUAAUGUACCAAGAUUUUAAUUUUAAUUAUAAUUGAUUACAGAAUAUCAAAUAUGUAACCAUAUUUCAAUUCUAUGAAAAAAUCCAUAGAGCCACAAGUAUAAUUAUAUUUAAUAAUGUAAGUUGUAAAAUACAAAAUAUUUAUUUUUUAAAACGUAAUUUCAUAAAUUGUUCUUGACUAUUAAAAUUAAGCAAUUUAAGAGGAAUGCCAAUAUUUGAUAUAAAUUGGGAAUUAGAAAAUUUUAAAUUUACCGAUGUUGGACCAAGACUUAGACUUAACAUAAUGUCAGCAAUAAAUGUUGCUAAUUGGUCUAGACAUUUUUUAGUUGGACUUACAUUUCCUUCUGUCAACCUUAAAGCACAUAAUUACUGAAAUAGUAUCUGUUUAUAUAAUAACAAAAGUAUUUGGCUAACUUACCACUGAGGUGUUCACUUUAUUUUGUGAACUUGAUUGUGCAGUGAUUAAAAAUAUAAUAUAUUAAUAUGUUAAUCUAUAAAAUUGUUUGGUUAUUUAAAAGUGGCGCAAAUUACAUAUACUUAUUUAUUAUUAUUAUUUGUUUCUUUUUGGCCCUUAAUUUCCAGCCCGAAGUGUCUACACUCACCUACUUAAGUUGCCCAUGAUCUUUGUUACAAUUUAACCAUAGAAUCGGCACAGCCGACUUCGAUUAACAAUUGCCAAUUCGAUUAUUAAUAACACAUAAGUAAUAACAAAACACUCAGAACUAGUCAAGUGUUUAUAUUUUUAUUUAAUUUUUAGAUUUUGAGCAAAGCGAUACAUGAAUGUAUUAUUUUGUAAGUUUUCUUAGCACUACCAUUGAUAAUUUACAUUGCAAUUUAUUGUAUUAUUUUACUAUUACUUUAUAAUUAAAGAAUAAUUAAAACUCUUUCAAAACAGAA